AUACUCUCGGAAGUAGGAGCAGCACAUGAGCUUACCACAAUGGGCAGGAUUGUCUUCCCCUAAAGGAAAUUCAUGAUUUAAAUCCAAAUUGGGCAAAGCUCGCUGGGAUUCUGAUGCAGUUUGUAGGUCCCAGAAAGGAGGAGCUGAGUGGCAUAGGGCUAGUGAGGAGGAGGAAUCGGCUGACCCGGUGGGUGGGUAGGAUCCAACGUGGGGGUGGACUUCUGGUGGACCAUUGACCGGGACAGAGAGCCUACAGCCUGAGAGGGCCGCCUUAGCCUCGCUUAUGAGGGGCCGUAGAGCGAGGUCUGGCCCGAAGGCCAUCCUGAUCACCUCCUGGUCGCCGUA
rnacentral:lncRNA from 1 species